GAUGAACGCUAGCGGCAGGCCUAAUACAUGCAAGUCAAGGGGCCCAGCAAUGGGCACCGGCGGACGGGUGCGUAACGCGUACACAACAUACCUUUAAGUGGGGGAUAGCAUUGGGAAACUGAUGGUAAUACCCCAUAAUAAUACAGGGAGGCAUUUCCUUGUAUUUAAAGCUCCGGCGCUUAGAGAUUGGUGUGCGUCCGAUUAGCUAGUUGGUGAGGUAACGGCUCACCAAGGCGACGAUCGGUAGGGGGUGUGAGAGCAUGACCCCCCACACGGGUACUGAGACACGGACCCGACUCCUACGGGAGGCAGCAGUAAGGAAUAUUGGACAAUGGAGGGAACUCUGAUCCAGCCAUGCCGCGUGAAGGAUGAAGGCGCUCAGCGUUGUAAACUUCUUUUGGAUGGGAACAAUAACUUCUACGUGUAGGAGCUUGAGGGUACCAUCAGAAUAAGCACCGGCUAACUCCGUGCCAGCAGCCGCAGUAAGAC
rnacentral:rRNA from 1 species